rnacentral:rRNA from 1 species
GAUGAACGCUGGCGGCGUGCCUAACACAUGCAAGUCGAGCGGCAGCGAGGGGUGCUUGCACCCUGUCGGCGAGCGGCGGACGGCUGAGUAACGCGUGGGAACGUGCCCCAAAGUGAGGAAUAACUGCCCGAAAGGGUAGCUAAUACCGCAUAUUAUCUUCGGAUCAAAGGAUUUAUCCGCUUUGGGAGCGGCUCGCGUCGGAUUAGGUAGUUGGUGAGGUAAUGGCUCACCAAGCCGACGAUCCGUAGCUGGUCUGAGAGGAUGACCAGCCAGACUGGAACUGAGACACGGUCCAGACUCCUACGGGAGGCAGCAGUGAGGAAUCUUGCACAAUGGGCGAAAGCCUGAUGGAGCAACGCCGCGUGCAGGACGAAGGCCUUCGGGUUGUAAACUGCUUUUAUAAGUGAGGAAUAUGACGGUAACUGAUGAAUAAGGAUCGGCUAACUACGUG